rnacentral:ncRNA from 1 species
UUCCGCGAAACCUAUGUGAGUAGGUAAUUUAAUUAACAUCUUAGCAGGUACAGAACUAGGAUCUCGGACAAUAUGUAAAUUUUGUGCACAUCGGGGGAUCGUGAUGAUUUUAUCGGAGAGUAUUUGCACUCGAAAGGGCAAAGAUGAAUAUUGAAUAAUCGGACAUAGUACGAUAAGGUUGUAUGUCUAAAGGGAAACAGCCCUGAACAAGAGUUAUAAGGUUCCAAAAUUAUUAUUAAGUGAAAUUAAGGAUGUACUUAUCAAAUACAACCAGGAAAUAGGCUUAGAAGCGGCCAUUUUUUGAAGACCUCGUAACAGAGCACUGGUUAAUAAAAAAUUUUUUAGAUAGAUAUGUAUACCGAAAAUUUAACGGAUCUAAAUAAUAUACCGAAACCUUGUUCGUAUAUAUUAAUAUAUAAUAUUAUUUACUAGUUUAAAUAUAUAUAUAUAUAUAUAUGAGGUAGCGGAA